UAGGGAAUCUUCCGCAAUGGGCGAAAGCUUGACGGAGCAACGCCGCGUGAGUGAUGAAGGUCUUCGGAUCGUAAAACUCUGUUAUUAGGGAAGAACAAAUGUGUAAGUAACUAUGCACGUCUUGACGGUACCUAAUCAGAAAGCCACGGCUAACUACGUGCCAGCAGCCGCGGUAAUACGUAGGUGGCAAGCGUUAUCCGGAAUUAUUGGGCGUAAAGCGCGCGUAGGCGGUUUUUUAAGUCUGAUGUGAAAGCCCACGGCUCAACCGUGGAGGGUCAUUGGAAACUGGAAGUCUUGAGUGCAGAAGAGGAAAGUGGAAUUCCAUGUGUAGCGGUGAAAUGCGCAGAGAUAUGGAGGAACACCAGUGGCGAAGGAGACUUUCUGGUCUGUAACUGACGCUGAUGUGCGAAAGCGUGGGGAUCAAACAGG
rnacentral:rRNA from 1 species